rnacentral:rRNA from 1 species
UACGUAGGUGGCAAGCGUUGUCCGGAUUUAUUGGGGUUAAAGGGUGCGUAGGCGGCAUUUUAAGUCAGUGGUGAAAUACUUCAGCUCAACUGGAGAGGUGCCAUUGAUACUGGGAUGCUUGAGUACUGAUGAGGUAGGCGGAAUGGACGGUGUAGCGGUGAAAUGCUUAGAUAUCGUCCAGAACACCGAUAGCGAAGGCAGCUUACUAAGGAGUAACUGACGCUGAGGCACGAAAGUGUGGGGAUCAAACAGG